rnacentral:tRNA from 1 species
GGAUAUAGCUAAGCAGCACAGCAUGUGCCUGGCAAGCACAAGGUCCGGAGUUCAAUUCCCAAUAUCCA